UGCAGCUCAGUGGCAGAGCACUUGCCUGGAAUGCUUGAGGUCCUGGGUUCAAUCCCCAGCA
rnacentral:tRNA from 1 species